ensembl:snoRNA
AUCCUCAUAUGUGUAGUCCCAUUUGAUUUUUGACAAAGCAGAUAAAAGCGUACACUGGGCUUUUGUAAUGUGGAAAGAGAAAAAAGUUCUCCUCGGAUGUCAGGUUGGCCUUACAGUGGGCUCUCUUUUCUUGAGGAAUUCAACAGGG